GAUGAAGAACGCAGCGAAAUGCGAUAAGUAAUGUGAAUUGCAGAAUUCAGUGAAUCAUCGAAUCUUUGAACGCACCUUGCGCUCCUUGGUAUUCCGAGGAGCAUGCCUGUUUGAGUGUCAUUAAUAUAUCAACCUCUUCAGCUUAUGCUUGUUGAGUGUUGGAUGGUGGGGGUUUGCUGGUGUCUUAUGAAGUCAGCUCCUCUGAAAUGCAUUAGCGGAACAAUUUGUUGACCGUUCAUUGGUGUGAUAAAAAUAUCUACGCUAUUGACGUCAGUCAGUUCAGCUUCUAACAGUCCAUUGACUUGGACAGAUUUUUCAUUAAUGUGACCUCAAAUCAGGUAGGACUACCCGCUGAACUUAAGCAUAUCAAUAAGCGGAGGA
rnacentral:misc_RNA from 1 species